rnacentral:rRNA from 1 species
GACGUAGGGAGCGAGCGUUGUCCGGAUUCAUUGGGCGUAAAGAGCGCGCAGGCGGCUUGGUAAGUCGGAUGUGAAAACCCGGAGCUCAACUCCGGACGUGCAUCCGAUACUGCCCGGCUAGAGGUAGGUAGGGGAGAUCGGAAUUCCUGGUGUAGCGGUGAAAUGCGCAGAUAUCAGGAGGAACACCGGUGGCGAAGGCGGAUCUCUGGGCCUUACCUGACGCUCAGGCGCGAAAGCUAGGGGAGCGAAC